AAAUCCACAAAGCAAGCAUUUCUGAUGGGGGGCAUCGCAUCUUCUCCCGUUCGGCUCCUUCUCACGCGACUACCGUUUCUUCUCCUUCACCGACGGCCGACGGCCACCUCCACUCAACCACCGCCGCCGACCGGACACCAUCUCCUUCCUUCUUCUAUUCACACCGCAGCCAAGGAAUUUUUGCCUCUACCGCUCAGUCUUCUCUCUGUUCGCGACGUCCUCUGUGUUCGCGGCAUUUCUUCCUCACGCGGGCUAGGGUUCGCGACAGAUUCAACAGGCGACUUCAUUCCUCCGAGUUCUGAGUUCGAGCAGCAACAUCUUCUCCAGAUUUGGUCAGCACAGCAGACUUCAAUUCCAGCACUACUUCCUUCAUCCGAACCAGAUUUGGCCAGUCACAGCUCCACCUUUUCUUCCACAGCAGUCUUCAAGUUCGAUCAGCAAUUCUUCAACAGAUCUGGACAGCUUUUGUUUGUUGUUCAUAAGCAGGGUGUUGCACUUGGAAGAUCUGUUGACUUGACAAAGUUUGAUGGUUAUGACCAAUUGAUCGAGGAGUUAGAUCAGCUAUUUGAAUUCAAAGGAGAAUUGAUGGCUCCAAAUAAAAAUUGGAUGAUUGUAUUUACUGAUAAUGAGGAUGAUAUGAUGCUUGUUGGAGAUGACCCUUGGCAGGAAUUUUGUGCUAUGGUCCGUCUGAUUUUUAUAUACCCAAAAGAGGAGGUCCAGAAGAUGGAUUCAAGUACCUUGAACCCAAAAAAUGAAGAUUGUCCUGAUAUGAAAGAGAAUGUCAAGGAAACAAAAGGCAGUCAAUCUGCAUCAUCAUCUAAUUAAAAAAACUCAUAGGCUUAUCCUGCAAUGAUCUUGAAGCACAAACAAAGUGAUUGUUUGUGCUUUAUCUAAGUGAUUGUUUGAACAGUUUUAUAGCAUGCAUCUUGACAAUUAAUAUAAUUUUGAAGAUCACUAUCAAGGAAGAAUGUUCAAAAGAAAGUAAAGGCUAAGGAGAAGAUCACGUAAUUAACUACACGGGUCUAGUGAAAAUACUGAAGAAGUAUGACAAGAGAACAGGAGCACUUAUCAGGCAACCCUUCAUCGAAAAGGUGCUGCAGUAGCCAUUCUUUACAACUGAUCUCCUAUAUAUACAAACUCGUGAAGGAGUGUGUGGCUAUGCUCGACCACCUCUUCCCCAGCAACAACCUGUCAAUUUCAGCAGAAUGCGACGGACAAAAUGGAGUGCCAAAGCCGGCACAAUCAGGUGGGAGGGUUCCAGAGUUGGAGGAGAUUAAAUAUAUCAGAGCUUAUACAUGAAGAGCACUGUAGCAGCGCUGCGGUCCUUGAAACAGAUUAGGAGCAAAAGUUCAACAGUCAAAACAGAUUAGAAAAUCUCGUGUUAUAUUGUUCUACCUUUGUUUUAAUAGUGUUAUCAUUUUGUUGGUUGUUUAUGAAA